ACAAUUUUGUCCUGUGUAUUAAUUUGCCUAAAACUAAUCAGAAUUCCAUUAUGUUUACAUAAAAAACAGAAUACUUCAAAAUGAGAAGAUCCUGCCAUGGAAAGACGACUGGGUGGAAAGUGGAAAGGAGGGGAAAUAACUCACACCAUGCAGCAGGACACCUUCAGCUGUGGGGUCUUUGUAAUGCAGUUGGCCCAGGAAUUUGCACAGAAUUUCCCCAACAUCCCCUCCCAAAUUGACAUAGAACCUUCACAAAAACACAUGGAGCAACUGCAAAAAGAAAUGGCCGAGGAUAUUCUAAAAAUGUCUGAGUUCAACAAAGCCAACAACUGCUUCAUGUGUGCCACUGAUAAAGAACCUGGAUGUGGCCCAAAGACUGACUUGGAUACAAACUCAUGGUAUAGUGGGUUAGCUGACAACGUUACGAAAACGAAGCGCACUCUUCAAUGGGGCAGGACAGUCUGUGAGUUGUGA
rnacentral:lncRNA from 1 species